rnacentral:rRNA from 1 species
AACGAACGCUGGCGGCAGGCUUAACACAUGCAAGUCGAGCGCACCGCAAGGGGAGCGGCAGACGGGUGAGUAACGCGUGGGAAUCUACCCACCUCUACGGAAUAACGCAUGGAAACGUGCGCUAAUACCGUAUACGUCCUUCGGGCGAAAGAUUUAUCGGAGAUGGGUGAGCCCGCGUUGGAUUAGCUAGCUGGUGGGGUAAAGGCCUACCAAGGCGACGAUCCAUAGCUGGUCUGAUAGGAUGAUCAGCCACACUGGGACUGCGACACGGCCCAGAGUCUGACGGGAGGCAGCAGUGGGGAAUAUUGGACAAUGGGCGCAAGCCUGAUCCAGCCAUGCCGCGUGAGUGAUGAAGGCCCUAGGGGUGUAAAGCUCUUUCACCAGUGAAGAUAAUGACGGUAACCGGAGAAGAAGCCCCGGCUAACUUCGUGCCAGCCGCCGCUGUAACAC